rnacentral:lncRNA from 1 species
UCCUAUUAAACCUGGUUCUUCUUGAGAAGAGAGAACUGUGCUGUGUUCAUUGUGGAAUACUGCACAAUUCACCCAGGGCCUAACUCGUGACAUCCUCAAUGAGCUCAAGUUCCAAGCCCAUAGAGCUGCAUGGGCCACCAGAGUCCUCCGAGGCCCCUGGCAAGCUGCAGAUCCUGCCUUCCUGUCUCAAAGUUUACAGCCACUGCAAAGGUCAGGAAUUGUGGUCCUCACAUGUAAAAGAUGAGACAGCCAGGGAGCAGGCAAGUUUGCAACCCAGAGCUCUCUUGAGGAACACGGAGCAAAGCCACCAGCCAAGGCAUGUUGUUUCCGUCAUAAUGUGUGCUGCACAGUGUGGAAGAGUUUUAUGGUGGCCCUGGCCUAGAGCUGUAAAGUUUAUUUCUGCACAUUAGCUAGUCCAUUGUCCCCUGCCCCCAAUAUCUCUUUCAUCUUCUUUAGGUAGACUUGUCAGGAUCCUCUUUUAAACACAAG